UACGAACUGUGCAAACGUUAUUCGGAAUCACUGGGCUUAAAGAGUUCGUAGGCGGCAUGAAAAGUAGGGUGUGAAAGCCCUCGGCUCAACCGAGGAAUUGCGCUCUAAACUGUCGUGCUCGAGGAACCUAGAGGUGAGCAGAACAGAUGGUGGAGCGGUGAAAUGCGUUGAUAUCAUCUGGAAUACCGGAGGCGAAGGCGGCUCACUGGGGGUUUUCUGACGCUGAGGAACGAAAGCCAGGGUAGCGAACGGG
rnacentral:rRNA from 1 species